CUUCCCUCAAGCAAAGACUCAUCAUAGAUCUGUCGGCCCCUCAUACCUCAUCUACACCGAGUCUGAACUCUCUUAUUCCCUCCGAAGAGUUUUCCCUACAAUAUACCAUGCUAUUACAGCCAUUAUGCAAGCAGGGAUCGGAGCAUGGCUAAGUAAGACAGACAUUACCAAUGCCUUUAAACUACUACCUAUCCAUCCCACACUAUGGCACUUACAUGGCAUCAAAUGGGCAGAUAACUAUUACUUUUUCUCCCGCUUAACCUUUGGGUCAAAAAGUAGCCCCAAAAUCUUCGACACUUUUGCUGAAACACUUUGCUGGUUGUUACUUAAUGUGUCUAGAUGCCCCAUAGUCAUCCAUUAUCUGGAUUAUUUUUUUUUACUGAUUGAAGCAAACUCCUUUCCCCCCAGGAGUCUCAAAGCAACCAUUAGUCUGUUUGACCACCUUGGAGUCCCAGUAUCCAACAAGAAAAUUGAAGGCCCAAAUACAAUUAUUAAAUUUCUAGGUAUACAACUAGACUCUGCCUCCAAGCUAGUUUACCACAAGAGAAAAUCGCAUUAACCAUUACAUUUUUCUGGGUAAUUGCAACCGCAAGGAAAUCCAAUCCCUCAUAGGUUCUUUGAACUUUGCCAGGCGUAUCAUUCUUCAAGGGAGGGCUUUCAUAUCCAGACUUCUCUGUCUUUUUCCACAUUUCAAACACAACAACUAUAAACUAUCCUUGGAUGCACAUGCCACGGCAGACCUAUAUAUGUGGAAAGAAUUCUUGACCACCUGGAAUGAUAAAAGCUUGUUCCUACCAGAGUUGACUGACACGUCUCCAACCAUAUGGUCAGACGCCGUGUCUACCACAGGUUUCGCAGCAAUCUUUGGGAACAAAUGGCUUUGGGGUCUGAAGAAGUCUAUGACUUAGAAGGUUUUUUACAACCUCAGCUCUUUUUGAGAUUUAUCCCAUUGUAGCAGCUGCCGUGGCGUGGGGACAUUUAUGGUCAGGCUUAUCAGUCCGUUGCCACACAGACAACCAAGCAACAUGUCACAUCAUUAACAAAGGCCGUUCAUCAUCCCUAACAAUUAUGAGAUUUCUCAGGAAGCUCACGUGGUUAGCAGCAUGUCACAAUUUUUCUGUGGUCUGCUUUUUUGUACCAGGUAUUACUAAUAUAGCAG